rnacentral:rRNA from 1 species
UACGUAGGGUGCGAGCGUUAAUCGGAAUUACUGGGCGUAAAGUGUGCGCAGGCGGCAGAGCAAGUCGAGUGUGAAAGCCCCGGGCUUAACUUGGGAAUUGCGCUCGAAACUACUUUGCUGGAGUGUGGCAGAGGAAGGUGGAAUUCCACGUGUAGCGGUGAAAUGCGUAGAGAUGUGGAGGAACACCAAUGGCGAAGGCAGCCUUCUGGGCCAACACUGACGCUCAUGCACGGAAGCGUGGGGAGCAAACAGG